rnacentral:rRNA from 1 species
UACGUAGGGUGCAAGCGUUGUCCGGAAUUAUUGGGCGUAAAGAGCGUGUAGGCGGCCUGACAAGUCUGCUGUGAAAACUCGAGGCUCAACCUCGAGAUGUCGGCGGAAACUGUCUGGCUAGAGUCCGGAAGAGGAGAGUGGAAUUCCUGGUGUAGCGGUGAAAUGCGCAGAUAUCAGGAAGAACACCUAUGGCGAAGGCAGCGUCUCUGGGACGGUACUGACGCUGAGACGCGAAGCGUGGGGAGCGAACAGG